GCACGCCAGGGUCAGUAGAAAAUAAAAAAAAAAACUGUCCUAGGAUAAUGGAGAUGGGUGAAGCCACUGUUGUGGAUGGCAAUUUGGGAAGGUAGGAUAUAGAUGGAAAAUUGAACGUACAUCCGUAGUAAACGAUAAACAAUUACUAACGUAAACGAUUCUAAGCUGAGUUCGGUUAAUAUUCGUGUUGCUUUGUUAACAAUAUACUCG